rnacentral:rRNA from 1 species
GAUGGACGCUGGCGGCGUGCCUAAUACAUGCAAGUCGAGCGAACAGACGAGGAGCUUGCUCCUCUGACGUUAGCGGCGGACGGGUGAGUAACACGUGGAUAACCUACCUAUAAGACUGGGAUAACUUCGGGAAACCGGAGCUAAUACCGGAUAAUAUAUUGAACCGCAUGGUUCAAUAGUGAAAGACGGUUUUGCUGUCACUUAUAGAUGGAUCCGCGCCGCAUUAGCUAGUUGGUAAGGUAACGGCUUACCAAGGCAACGAUGCGUAGCCGACCUGAGAGGGUGAUCGGCGAAACGGGAAAUGAGACACGGUCCAGACUCCUACGGGAGGCAGCAGUAGGGAAGCUUACGAAAUGGGCGAAAGCCUAACGGAGCAACGCCGCGUGAGUGAUGAAGGUCUUCGGAUCGUAAAACUCUGUUAUUAGGGAAGAACAAAUGUGUAAGUAACUAUGCACGUCUGGACGGUACCUAAUCAGAAAGCCACGGCUAACUACGUG